GGGACUCACCGUCUUACCAAAUCUAACUAAACUCCGAAUACCAAUAAUUAAUUAUACAACAGACACACUGCGGGUGCUAAGUCCGUGGUGAAAAGGGAAACAACCCAGAUCACUAUCUAAGGUCCCAAAAUUACAGCUAAGUGGGGAAGGAAGUAGAAAAACCAUUACAGCUAGGAGGUUGGCUUGGAAGCAGCCAUCCUUUAAAGAAAGCGUAACAGCUCACUUGUCUAAAUAAGUUUUUCUGCGCUGAAAAUGUACCGGGGCUAAAGCUGUAUACCGAAGAUGUGGGUGCUUAUUGAUUCCGAUCAAUGAGUGCGGUAGCGGAGCGUUCUGUAAGUCUGUGAAGGUAGUUUGUGAAAACUGCUGGAGAUAUCAGAAGUGAGAAUGCUGACAUAAGUAGCGUAAAAGAGUGUGAAAAACACUCUCACCGAAAAUCUAAGGGUUCCUACGUUAAGUUAAUCUGCGUAGGGUUAGUCGGUUCCUAAGGCGAGUCCGUAAAGGAGUAGUCGAUGGCAAUCAGGUUAAUAUUCCUGAACCUCUUAAGUGUGACGGGUUUUGUAUUUGUAUAGGUCUGAUUGGAUUGAUCUAUGCUUAAAAGAAGCUCCAGGAAAUAGCACUUAUAUUCAUGAGGCCGUACCGUAAACCGACACUGGUGGAUGAGUAGAGUAUACUAAGGUGUUGAAAGAAUGAUGUUGAAGGAACUCGGCAAAUUGUACCUGUAACUUCGGAAGAAGGGUAACCUGCUUUUAGGCAACUAUUAGUAGGUGGCACAAAAUAGGGAGUAGCGACUGUUUACUAAAAACACAGGACUCUGCAAACACGUAAGUGGAAGUAUAGGGUCUGACGCCUGCCCGGUGCUGGAAGGUUAAUAGGAGGGGUGCAAGCUCCAAAUUGAAGCCCCAGUAAACGGCGGCCGUAACACUGACGGUCCUAAGGUAGCGAAAUUCCUUGUCGGGUAAGUUCCGACCCGCACGAAUGGCGUAACGAUUUCUCCACUGUCUCCAACAUCAAUUCAGCGAAAUUGAAUUCCCCGUGCAGAUGCGGGGUACCCGCGGUUAGACGAAGAGACCCCGUGCACCUUUACUAUAGCUUUACAUUGUUAUUAAAAAUGUAAUGUGCAGGAUAGGUGGGAGACUUUGAAGUUAUGGCGCUAGCUGUAAUGGAGUCAACCUUGAGAUACCACCCUUUACAUUUUUGAUACCUAACUAUGUUUCAUUAUCUGGAACUAGGACAUUGUAUGGUGGGUAGUUUGACUGGGGCGGUCGCCUCCUAAAAAGUAACGGAGGCGUGCGAAGGUAAGCUAGAGCUGGUCGGAAAUCAGCUUAAUAGUACAAUGGCAUAAGCUUGCCUGACUGCGAGGCUGACAAGCCAAGCAGAGACGAAAGUCGGUCAUAGUGAUCCGGUGAUUCUGUAUGGAAGGGUCAUCGCUCAACGGAUAAAAGGUACGCCGGGGAUAACAGGCUGAUGGUGUUCAAGAGUUCAUAUCGACGACACCGUUUGGCACCUCGAUGUCGACUCAUCACAUCCUGGGGCUGGAGAAGGUCCCAAGGGUUCGGCUGUUCGCCGAUUAAAGUGAUACGUGAGUUGGGUUUAGAACGUCGUGAGACAGUUCGGUUUCUAUCUGCCGUGGGUGAAGGAAAUUUGAGAAGAUCUAACUCUAGUACGAGAGGACCGAGAUGGAUAUACCUCUGGUGUACCAGCUGUUAUGCCAAUAGCAUUGCUGGGUAGCUAUGUAUAGAUGGGAUAAUUGCUGAAAGCAUAUAAGCAAGAAACCCUCUUCAAAAAGAUUUCCCAAUUAAGGCCGUGGAAGACUACCACGUUGAUAGGCUAGGUGUGGAAGCAUGGUAACAUGUGAAGCUAACUAGUACUAAUAGCCUGAUUGAUUUAUUUGC
rnacentral:rRNA from 1 species